rnacentral:tRNA from 1 species
CCUGGUGGCUCAGAGGGUAAAGCGCCUGCCUGAAACGCAGUAAACCUGGGUUCGAUCCCUGGGUCAGGA